GGCACUAUAGCCAAGUGGUUAAGGCGACAGAUUAGAAUAAACGCACAUAGAAAUUCCAUCUGUUACUCUCUGAGUGCGCAGAUCCAAAUCCUGCUGGUGUUG